GACGAACGCUGGCGGCGUGCUUAACACAUGCAAGUCGAACGAUGAAGCUGGAGCUUGCUCCGGUGGAUUAGUGGCGAACGGGUGAGUAACACGUGAGCAAUCUGCCCUUGACUCUGGGAUAACUGCGGGAAACUGUAGUUAAUACCGGAUACGAGACCUGAAGGCAUCUUCGGGUCUGGAAAGAAUUUCGGUCAAGGAUGAGCCCGCGGCCUAUCAGCUUGUUGGUGAGGUAAUGGCUCACCAAGGCGACGACGGGUAGCCGGCCUGAGAGGGUGACCGGCCACACUGGGACUGAGACACGGCCCAGACUCCUACGGGAGGCAGCAGUGGGGAAUAUUGCACAAUGGGCGAAAGCCUGAUGCAGCAACGCCGCGUGAGGGAUGAAGGCCUUCGGGUUGUAAACCUCUUUUAGCAGGGAAGAAGCGAAAGUGACGGUACCUGCAGAAAAAGCACUGGCUAACUACGUGCCAGCCGCCGCGGUAA
rnacentral:rRNA from 1 species